UUGGACAAUUUUAUUUCUCUCUCCCAAUAGCAAUCCGCCUAGCCGGGUUUUUUUCGGCUUCGUGACGGCGCAUUUAACCUCGGCGGGAUGUCUUUCCUGCAGGCAGUUUUCGAAAGGGAAAAAAGAGGGGAAACGAUUAUGGGAAGGGACACAUAAAAAAAAGAACGUUUCGAAUGAAACAUUGUCACGGCACGCUACGCAUUCUUUACUGGGUAGCUUCCAUUUCAGCUUGUUUUUUAAACCUUUGGAUAUUUAAAAGAGACUAUCGGUAUUUCUUAAAAGAAACGGAGCUCGGUGAAAACAUUUAAAGUUCAUUGCAAUUACAGUGAUAACAGUUAUUUAUGGCAAAUCAAACGUAGCAGACCACAUCGACAAUAGCUCAAGAUAAGUAUAUACACCCUGUUAACUGUGCACAGUUGUAAAUGAAAAUUAGGGUUAAUCGCUGUAAGUGUCUAGUAUGACAAAACUGGUAGACUUCAAUUUAAAAAAUAACUAUUAAAUUAGUUUGAUUUGUGGUUACAGAAAGGGAUAGAGGCUGGAUGGAGAGAAAAAGAAAGCAAAGCGGCCAUCAUGGAUUUUUUGGUCACCCGUUCCCUCAGUUUUGAUAGGCCGUUCCUACCUAUAAAAAAUUGAAACUUCGAGAAAACGUUGAAAACAAAAGGUAUGGGGAACAAAUAAAUGCAGGAAGGGGGAAAGACAAUCACCCGGGGCGAUGAAACAGGUAGGGAAUGAAAACCGUAACCACCUGGAAUAUUUGUGGGCAAUUGCACCAUUCAUUUAGCUGUCCCUCCCCAUUGGCCCUAUCUUUCCAGCCCCCCCUCCCCCACUAAAUUCUUUUUCUUUAACUAAUUGCCGUGUUUGGGUACUUUGGAUUCAUCCAGCAUGUGUUUUCGUUAUGGAUCUGAGUAAUGGUAACCGUAAUGGGAUCGUCGACCAGCUACUUCAUAUUGCAACUGGGAGAGAGCGUCAUCGUAACACAAGUAUUUAUAGAGCCGAAAUGAAAUAUGUACAAGAUAAUUUAGAUCCUCUAUUUCUUCGAGAGAAGAGAAAAGAACAAAAAAACUCAACGAGCCGAUUUUUCUACACAGCCUGCCCUUUUAGGCUGAGUUUCAAUCGUCCGAGAUAUCGUCGUUGAAAGCUGAGAUUCCAGCGUGUCUUGUUCGGUCAAUAGGAAACCAUCCUCGGCUGCAACAGCAGCAAAUUCCUCGAAGGACAUAGCGGCUAAAUCACCCGAUCGAUCUUGAACCGGAGCAACAGGAAGCUCCUUCCGGCUGGAAGCAGGGGUAGGCUCCUCACAUACAGGGACAUCAGCCGAUUCGAUGGGAACAGAGUCCGCUCGGGCGGAGGCAUCCUCGUCGGUGGCAGUAACAACGAGUUCACAGAUCGAACCGACAUUGUCGGAUUGUUGGAUUGUUCCAUGGCCGGCCUUUCCUCUCUCUCCUUCGCUCUCUUGGCCAGUCUACGUUGGUAGGACGCAUUCCACAAUGCCUUGUGUGGUUUCUUCUUUCGCCCUGCACUGACAGGGACAUCUUCGACUGUACCAAGAACUCCAUCAACCGACUACGCUCCUUGGAUCGGAGGAGCAUCUACAGCACACUCGUGCUGGAUGGAAAUUGGAGUAUGCUCCUCGCAGACAGGAUCAUCAGCUGGAGGAGGCAAUUCGCCCUCUUCAACGGAAACACACACUACGUCCGAUUGGAUCCUAGCAUCUUCGUCAUGGACGGGUUCGAAGGGAUGAAAAAUUGAAUCAACUGUGCAAGAUUCUUGCACAGCCAUCAACGUGGUUCGCAGACCGGCUCAUUCUCCAAAUAGCCAUCUGCUAUUUCACACACCUUUAUUACAUCCACGUCGUCGAAUACUUCUUCCGCGAUUGCUGUCACUUCCUCGUCAUCUUCAGGAACAACGGUCUUAACCUCAUCGCCAGCGGCACAAUCUUCCGGAUAUUCGGCGUCGAUCGAAACGAUUUCAGUUCUUCAGAUGCCAUAACUUGUACAAUGGGCGCACACUGUGUAAAACGUAAGCUUUCCACCCUAGCGAUCCAACGGCAACAGCUCCCGCGCCAAAUGACACUACACCGAUCACUUUCAUUGAAAACUCUGCGAAUGAAGACAUUUUCGAACAGCUUGUUGAACUUUGAUUGCUAAUGGAAAAGAAAGUAAGUAAAGUUGCAUAAAUAAAAAAAAAUCCCAUAUAUACUGUAUGUGCGUGGAAACAGCUAAGCGGCAAAAUUUUAGAGCAUGGACUCUGAUUUUUCAAACUUAUUUUUAAUAAUUCUAAUCGGUUAAAUAACAAAGAGUUCAAAAGUUUUCAUGUUUAUUGAAUUAUAGGAAUAAAUAUUUGUAUUUAACUAAAACAAAUCAUCGGUCGUAUCUGUUUACGACGUGUCGUUCUCGAGUACAGGACAUUAGUUCGCGAGAAUACCGCUAGGCUAACUUUUCCUUGCAUUUACUGUUAUUUUUUGUUGUUUUCUCGGUAUGAUUAUCGUAUCGAUUAACACAAAAAUCCGUAACACUACGUUGUUCUGUAAGUUUGGUAUUACUGGUAUAGGAAUUCGCUUAAUAUUUUCUCGCAAUGCAACGGGUGUAGCUCAUUAUGCAAACCCCUUGUUGUACAUGUCCAUCUAUUCAAAACAGCGAAAAUUUAAAUAUUCAGGACCUUUGAGAAAAACAAAAUUACCAUAGAAGACGAAAACUAAAAAGGAAGGGUACAGAUUUUUUUUUCAGGUCAAGGUGAAACUCCACAUAAAACGCUUUCCUUUUGCUUUAAGUAUAGGUAGGGCACGAUAGCAAAAUAAAAAAGGAUGAGACAGAAAAAAGACUGUAGACAUGUUGCCGGGGUGUUUUGGCGGGUUAUUCGUCAUACUUUUGUAACUAAGCCUUCAUUUUUCGCACGGUGAUUUGCAUCUAUUGGUUAUUGCUUGAAUCAAAUUCUAGCUAGCUACUGCUACAUAAUAUAUGAACAAUGACAAUGUGUUAGCCUACCAACUGUUUGAAGAAAGACACGUAAAACUAAUGACUUUUCUCGCAAUCAAAUGCGUAUCCCUGAUUUCAAGUUCAAGUGCAAUAGAAAAGGCAUUUGACUGCGCACUCAACUGCAAAUGUGAUAUGCUUAACACAAAGCGGUAAUAACGUCAACCAUGUUUAACGACGGGAAUCCCAGGCAAGCAAUCCAGUUGUGUGCAAUUUCAUUUUCCAUUUGAUGCAUAAUACUUUCGCGUUGAAGUGAAAAAUUGCUAAAUGUUUAGCAUUGCAUACGAAAGUGAGGAUGAUGCUCAAGCAUCUGCUGCAAUUGAUUUUCGUCGACGCCACAUCCGAGCAAUUUCAGGAGGUUCUCCGUUGGGCAUGGCGUGAUGAUGAAAUAUGAAAAAAAAAUUUAAUCCGACGAGACUUGACGGAGAGGCUUAGCUGCGGUAUCCAUCUUGAAUUACAAAUGACUUCAGCGCUGUUUGAUGGGAGACAACAUCUGCUGGGCAGAAAGGACGGCCAGCUUCUCAUUUCUCGUUGCCCUUGUGGUUGAAUGACGGCCCUAGGGCCGUAUAUACCGGUACUGGAGCUCGACGUGUCACGACCAAGUGGACACACUUGAUGCAUACUAAUGCACACAACUGGACAACCUGAUUUACCGUCCGUGUAAAUACAACUAUGAAAUGCCGUGUUACUUUAGCGCAGUUGUAAUAAAUAAGCAUAUACGACUCAUCGA